rnacentral:rRNA from 1 species
AGGAUAAACGCUGGCGGCGUGCCUAACACAUGCAAGUCGAACGCCCUUUAGCUUCGCAAGGAGUGGGAGGGAGUGGCGGACGGGUGAGGAACACGUGGGUGACCUACCUUUCAGUGAGGAAUACCGGCGAGAAAUCGCCGACAAGACCGCAUACGCUUCUCUAUUCGCAGAGGGAAGGAAAGCUUCACGAGAGUGAGGCGCUGGAAGAUGGGCCUGCGGCCGAUUAGCUAGCUGGUGGGGUAACGGCCUACCAGGGCGACGAUCGGUAGCUGGUCUGAGAGGACGAUCAGCCACACUGGGAUUGAGAACGGCCCAGACUCCUACGGGGGGCAGCAGUGAGGAAUUUUCGGCAAUGGGGGCAACCCUGACCGAGCAACGCCGCGUGCAGGAGGAAGGUCUUCGGAUCGUAAACUGCUUUUCUGUGGGAAGAGAACGGACGGUACCACAGGAAGAAGCCCCGGCUAACUACGUGCCCAGCAGCCGCGGU